AGGGGUAUNNGUAGCAAUACUUAGAGACCNNNCGCACGGGUGANNUAACGCGUAUGCAACCUACCUUAUACUGGGGGAUAGCUCAGUGAAAAUUGAAUUAAUACCGCAUAAAGCAGGGGUACCGCAUGGUAAUAUUUGCUAAAGAUUUAUCGGUAUAAGAUGGGCAUGCGUGUCAUUAGCUAGUUGGUGAGGUAACGGCUCACCAAGGCGACGAUGACUAGGGGGUCUGAGAGGAUGGUCCCCCACACUGGUACUGAGACACGGACCAGACUCCUACGGGAGGCAGCAGUGAGGAAUAUUGGUCAAUGGACGCAAGUCUGAACCAGCCAUGCCGCGUGAAGGAUGACUGCCCUAAGGGUUGUAAACUUCUUUUGUACGGGGGUAAUUUUCGGCUCGUGAGCUGAAUUGAAAGUACUGUACGAAUAAGCGUCGGCUAACUACGUGCCAGCAGCCGCGGUAAUACGUAGGACGCAAGCGUUAUCCGGAUUUAUUGGGUUUAAAGGGUGCGUAGGCGGGUUUAUAAGUCAGUGGUGAAAGACUGUCGCUUAACGAUAGCAUUGCCAUUGAUACUGUGGAUCUUGAGUAUAGUUGAGGUAGGCGGAAUGUGUAGUGUAGCGGUGAAAUGCUUAGAUAUUACACAGAACACCGAUUGCGAAGGCAGCUUACUAAGCUAUAACUGACGCUGAGGCACGAAAGCNNGGGGAUCAAACAGGAUUAGAUACCCUGGUAGUCCACGCUGU
rnacentral:rRNA from 1 species